rnacentral:lncRNA from 1 species
AGUGGUGGUUUGUAGGGCUUUGGUGGCGGGUAUUUUACCCGCCAUUGGUGAUCUCAGUGCAGCAGUGGCGGGUAUUUUACCCGCCACAGGUGCUAAAACCUCCAGUGACGCAGAGUUGGUGGCGGGCGUGAUCACCGCCACCAACCCCAUUUUUUGACUGCCACUGGAGGGGUUUUCUGUAGUAGUGAACCGAAGCAACUAAUUUCUCCUAGCCCUGUGCCACUCGUACUAAUCCUUAUCGCUCCAUGCAUGAGAAUAGUCCGAAGCCGUACAUCCUCAACUAGCUAGCAAACUCCUUGCAUGCAACAACUAACUCUAACCAUGUCCUCUUCUUUGGUUCUUCCUCCUAAAACCACUCUAGGAACAACAUGUCCAGGCCACAUGUGCACAUGCAGCUAGCAUUUGAUGGACUUGUUUACCAGUUGGGCGCAGCAGGCCGCAUCGCACAUCACUACGGUAUCUCGCUUUAUAAUAAUGCUCAGUUUGGCAUUGUUGAACUGUGUUGUGCUGAACUUAUUUUAUCAGAUUUGCUAGGGAUCAGUCAACUGAGAAACUGUUUUUCUCAGUCGAUGUGAAAACGUACGGAGGAUAAAUAACAUAAUAACUGAAUGUUGACAGAAAGGAUUAGUUCGUGUGGUGGUUUGUGGGUGCUAGCCCCUGCAGGAGGGUGCAAGUUUGAGUCUUGUGCGCUCAUUUUUUUUGUUUCUUUUUUCUACUUUUGGUUUCUAAUCAUAAAUUUGUUUCGUUUUUGUUUGCAAUUUAUAUAUCUCUUGACUUUCUUUGUUUUCAAGUUUAUAUAUGUGCACUAACUUAAAAUAGUAGUAUAGGAUAAUCUGUACAUUUAUUUUAUUUUCUCGCGUCCGAUGUUACUUGGACAAUUUAAAAUUCCGUGCAAAUUUUGAGAUUGCACAUAAAAUUUCAGUGCAAAUUUUGAAAUUUUCACCCGCAUUUAAAAUUAAAAUUGCACAUAAAAUUCCGUGCAAAUUUUGAAAUUGCACAUAAAAUUCCGUGCAAACAGGAUCCCGUGACUGGCCCCCUUUUACUUUAUUUCUCAAAUCUCAUAUUAAAUUUUUUCACAAAAUUUGAAUAGGAUAUUUGAGAAUUGAACUAGAAGGGGCCUUUGGAGGGAUAGUGUUUGCAAUCCUAUUCCUAUGUAAUUGUCGCACCAGUGGCACCCGGGGUCCCACCGCUGCCUAACGCGUGGGUCGUUCCACGUGCUUCCAGCAAGGAUAGCACCCUGGGUAGCACCGCUCGAGUUGCCCGGGAAGUCACCGGCCCAGCGGGACUAGCCGGGCUGUGAGGGUUACCCCGGAAGGCAACAAGGGAAUCUUGGUCAGGACGCCCUCCGGGAAGGUCACUUGGCAGGAGGGUGUUCCCGGGCGCUGGGGCCUACGACAGGGCCAGUGCCCAG